CGUUACAGAAAAACUGCAGGGGGAGACGGUCCUUCACCGAGCUGCGUCCCUGUGUCAAAGAACUAUCUGUCAUUAUCUGGUCCAAGCAGGAGCCUCGCUCAUCAAGACAGACCUACAGGAUGAUGAGAUCAACCAACAGAGUCUGGCUGACAAACUCAAGGAGCAGAAGAUGGAC